rnacentral:rRNA from 1 species
GGGGGCAAUGGUACCGUAACUUCGGGAGAAGGUACUCUGCCGACGGUGAUAGGAUUUACUCCUUGAGCUAUUGGCAGCCACAGAAACCAGGCCCCUGCAACUGUUUAUUAAAAACAUAGCACUCUGCAAACACGAAAGUGGACGUAUAGGGUGUGAUGCCUGCCCGGUGCUGGAAGGUUAAUUGAUGGGGUUAGCGUAAGCGAAGCUCUUGAUCGAAGCCCCAGUAAACGGCGGCCGUAACUAUAACGGUCCUAAGGUAGCGAAAUUCCUUGUCGGGUAAGUUCCGACCUGCACGAAUGGCAUAAUGAUGGGGGCGCUGUCUCCAGCAGAGACUCAGUGAAAUCGAAUUCGCCGUGAAGAUGCGGUGUACCCGCGGCUAGACGGAAAGACCCCGUGAACCUUUACUGCAGCUUGACAUUGAACUUUGAUCUUACUUGUGUAGGAUAGGUGGGAGGCUUUGAAACCGAGACGCUAGUUUCGGUGGAGCCAAUCUUGAAAUACCACCCUGGUAAUAUUGAGGUUCUAACUCUGUCCCGUUAUCCGGGACGAGGACCAUGUCUGGUGGGUAGUUUGACUGGGGCGGCCUCCUCCUAAAGAGUAACGGAGGAGUACGAAGGUGCGCUCAGCGUGGUCGGAAAUCACGCGUAGAGUAUAAAGGCAAAAGCGCGCUUAACUGCGAGACCCACAAGUCGAGCAGGUACGAAAGUAGGUCUUAGUGAUCCGGUGGUUCUGUAUGGAAGGGCCAUCGCUCAACGGAUAAAAGGUACUCUGGGGAUAACAGGCUGAUACCGCCCAAGAGUUCAUAUCGACGGCGGUGUUUGGCACCUCGAUGUCGGCUCAUCUCAUCCUGGGGCUGAAGCAGGUCCCAAGGGUAUGGCUGUUCGCCAUUUAAAGAGGUACGCGAGCUGGGUUUAGAACGUCGUGAGACAGUUCGGUCCCUAUCUACCGUGGGCGUUGGAAAUUUGAGAGGAUCUGCUCCUAGUACGAGAGGACCAGAGUGGACGAACCUCUGGUGUACCGGUUGUGACGCCAGUCGCAUCGCCGGGUAGCUAUGUUCGGAAGGGAUAACCGCUGAAAGCAUCUAAGCGGGAAGCCUACCUCAAGAUAAGAUUUCCCUAGGACUUUAUGUCCUCUAAAGAGCCGUUGAAGACUACGACGUUGAUAGGUUGGAUGUGGAAGCACAGUGAUAUGUGAAGCUGACCAAUACUAAUUGCUCGUGAGGCUUGACU